CUCCGCCCCGCCUCCCUCCUAGGUGAAGGAAGAUGAUUUCCCCCCCAUCUUGACCACCCCCCAGUCUUCGCCGCCAAAAACGGACUCCGCCGGCUAUCCUCGGCCCGGUACCAGUUGUUGGAUCCAAGAGAAUUCCGGAACCCAAACGGUCCAUUACCGCGGCUCUGGGGUGGGCGAGGGGUGAGGGGGCCGGGUUUCCGCGAAGGGGGAGGGGGAAGGCGAAGGCCACCUAGGAGAGUCACGUGACUACUGUUUCCGCCGGCGCUCACGGAGAGCUCGCGGUAAUUCCGUUUCCCCGCCCUUUUUUCCCCGCGGCCUGUCGGGAAGAAGGUCCGCGUGCCAGGGCUAUCGGGAGGUCGGCCGGAGGGCCGCGCGCAUGCGCCCCGCGCCUGCUUUCAAACUCCGGUUAGGAAGGGCCUGGAGCUAUUUUCAGAACCUGUUAGGGUGGGGAGCUACGGCCCAGGAAGUUACCUAGCAGCGUUUCUGUCACUUGGAAGAUCUCUUCAUUACCUAGUUAGUCCUAGAAACAAAAUGUUUACAUAUUCAUUGCUUGUUAGGCUCGCUCAAAGCACUUUAUUGGCAGUGAAACCGCAAGUAACCCGGAGCCCUCGGCGCGACCACGGCUAGAAUCAGAGCCUAAGGCGUGUGAGCUCAGCCAUCCCACGUCUGUCUUCACGCUCAUACGCAAGCCCGACACACCGGGGCUCCCACUUAAUGAAUACUGAAGAGUAGGGCUGUCCCUACCGCUUCUCACUUCCUUGUUUUCAUCUUUUCGUUAUUAUUAAGCGACCUAACACAAUAAACAUAUUACCUUGUUGGUAACCCUUUUGUAAAGUCAUUCUGAAAGUGCUGUUUGACUCCGUUGCUUGGGUAAUAAGCACGCCUGGGUGAUUCUUGCCCCCUACUGGCUGCGCAUCCUACAAGCCUAGUGCUGAAAGCAAACCAAGUAGCUGGAACAGUUGGAGGUUACAGUGUGAACUCUUCCAGAGACAAAGUAUUCGGGGAAAGAAAGGAAAAAGUAGGCACAGAAAGAAUAGGAAACUUCAGUGUUUGUACACAUAGAUAUGUAUUAU
rnacentral:lncRNA from 10 species